rnacentral:rRNA from 1 species
UACGUAGGGGGCUAGCGUUGUCCGGAAUCAUUGGGCGUAAAGCGCGUGUAGGCGGCCCGGUAAGUCCGCUGUGAAAGUCGGGGGCUCAACCCUCGAAAGCCGGUGGAUACUGUCGGGCUAGAGUACGGAAGAGGCGAGUGGAAUUCCCGGUGUAGCGGUGAAAUGCGCAGAUAUCGGGAGGAACACCAAUUGCGAAGGCGGGUCUCUGGGCCGAUACUGACGCUGAGGAGCGAAAGCGUGGGGAGCGAACAGG